GUCAUACCUACUGCACCGAGUCGCAGAUAAAAGCUUCCAGUUUGUCUACCAGCGUUAGCAACUGUGCCGCGUUUCCUAGCAACGGGAACAGACGACACGAUCGUGCGGCUGUGCAUCUUCCGGGGCAUAGUGCGCAUGCGCACCCUUUUUCUUCACAAUGCGUUCGGGUGAGCUAUAACGGAACAUUUACACCUGACGACAUCCCCAAAAUACCUUCAUAUUCUCAAGCAUAAUUUAAGAUCACGAAAAGUUUGACUCACUUCAAAAAGCACCGGGACCGCCUCGCCGACGAAUAUCUCCGCUAUAGGCACCAUAAGGCCGACGACGACGACGCAUACCAUGUAGAGGGCGCUCCACAGAACACACAUCGUCUCGCAGAAGCUGGGAACAGGAAAGAAAUGUUCGCACAUUAAACAGCGGCAGCACAAUACUGUGUUCACCUACUGCUUGUCAUUGGUCGUCGUAUGAUUAAUGGGAGGUAGUGUCGCUUCGCUACGAAUAUUCUCCUUGAACAUAUAUCAUUGACAAUAAAUAUAAAAAUGUAUAGCUGGAUUAGUUUUGUUAAAAUACUUAUGUAUUCAACUUUGUACAAAAUAAACAAGUUUUUAACAGAAAAUAUAUAACUCAGCACAUAAUAAAGUAGGUUUUCUGAACGUCUAAUAAACAGUUAUACAUUCAACAUUGAAUGGCAAGUACA